rnacentral:ncRNA from 1 species
AAUAAUAAAGCGCCUGGACACUAACUAUUAGUGUUGACGAGGUCUAGAGUUAUCGAAACAUUCGGCGGAUGCUCUAGUGGCUAGCUUAGGUCAAAAUAUUAAUUAAAAAGCAAUAGCAAUAUUGUAACAAAGAUUAAUAU